rnacentral:rRNA from 1 species
UAAGGAAUAUUGGGCAAUGGAGGCAACUCUGACCCAGCCAUGCCGCGUGAAGGAUGAAGGCCCUAUGGGUUGUAAACUUCUUUUGUACGGGAAUAAACCUGGUUACGUGUAACCAGUUGAAUGUACCGUAAGAAUAAGCACCGGCUAACUCCGUGCCAGCAGCCGCGGUAAUACGGAGGGUGCAAGCGUUAUCCGGAUUUAUUGGGUUUAAAGGGAGCGUAGGCGGGAUUGUAAGUCAGUGGUGAAAGCCCGUAGCUCAACUACGGAACUGCCAUUGAUACUGCAGACCUAGAGUACACUUGAAGUGGGCGGAAUGUGUCAUGUAGCGGUGAAAUGCUUAGAUAUGACACAGAACACCAAUUGCGAAGGCAGCUCACUAAAUUGUAACUGACGCUGAGGCUCGAUAGCGUGGGGAUCAAACAGG